rnacentral:misc_RNA from 1 species
GAUGAAGAACGUAGCGAAAUGCGAUAAGUAAUGUGAAUUGCAGAAUUCAGUGAAUCAUAGAAUCUUUGAACGCACAUUGCGCCCCUUGGUAUUCCGAGGGGCAUGCCUGUUCGAGCGUCAUUAUAACCCCUCAAGCUCAGCUUGGUGUUGGGGCCUGCCGCACGGGCAGCCCUUAAAAUCAGUGGCGGUGCCAUCUGGCUCUAAGCGUAGUAAUUCUUCUCGCUAUAGAGUCCCGGUGGAUGCUUGCCAUUAACCCCCAAUUUUCUAUGGUUGACCUCGGAUCAGGUAGGGAUACCCGCUGAACUUAAGCAUAUCAAUAAGCGGAGGA